UACGUAGGGUGCAAGCGUUACUCGGAAUUACUGGGCGUAAAGCGUGCGCAGGCGGUUUGCUAAGACCGAUGUGAAAUCCCCGGGCUUAACCUGGGAACUGCAUUGGUGACUGGCAGGCUAGAGUAUGGCAGAGGGGGGUAGAAUUCCACGUGUAGCAGUGAAAUGCGUAGAGAUGUGGAGGAAUACCGAUGGCGAAGGCAGCCCCCUGGGCCAAUACUGACGCUCAUGCACGAAAGCGUGGGGAGCAAACAGG
rnacentral:rRNA from 1 species